rnacentral:rRNA from 1 species
GAUGAACGCUGGCGGCGUGCCUAAUACAUGCAAGUCGAGCGAACGGACGAGAAGCUUGCUUUUCUGAUGUUAGCGGCGGACGGGUGAGUAACACGUGGAUAACCUACCUAUAAGACUGGGAUAACUUCGGGAAACCGGAGCUAAUACCGGAUAAUAUUUUGAACCGCAUGGUUCAAAAGUGAAAGACGGUCUUGCUGUCACUUAUAGAUGGAUCCGCGCUGCAUUAGCUAGUUGGUAAGGUAACGGCUUACCAAGGCAACGAUGCAUAGCCGACCUGAGAGCGUGAUCGGCCACACUGGAACUGAGACACGGUCCAGACUCCUACAGGAGGCAGCAGUAGGGAAUCUUCCGCAAUGGGCGAAAGCCUGACGGAGCAACGCCGCGUGAGUGAUGAAGGACUUCGGAUCGUAAAACUCUGUUAUUAGGGAAGAACAUAUGUGUAAGUAACUGUGCACAUCUUGACGGUACCUAAUCAGAAAGCCACGGCUAACUACGUG